CUACCCUUACAAUGAUCCCCAAAGGGAAUCAAAUACAACUUCUCCCAUACAUGCUGCUGAUACAGACAUUCCCAAGACUGGGUAAUUUAUAAAGAAAAAGAGGUUUAGGCCAGGUGUGGUGGCUCAUGCCUGUAAUCCCAGCACUUUGGGAGGCUGAGGUGGGCGAAUUAUGAGGUCAGAAGUUCAAGACCAGCCUGGCCAACAUGGUGAAACCCUGUCUCUACUAAAACUCACUCACUCCCACAAGAAUGGCACGAAGCCAUUUAUGAGGAACCCAUCCCCAUGACCUAAACACGUCCCACUGGGCCCCACCACCAAUACUGGAAAUCAAAUUUUAACAUGAGACUUGAUGGGGUCACAUAAACCACAUCAAACCAUAGCAGAGGGCACUGGAAAUCAUCCAAAGGAAAAUGUACUUCAUUCUGUAGCUAGUAG
rnacentral:lncRNA from 1 species